AUUGAACGCUGGCGGCAGGCCUAACACAUGCGAGUCGAGCGGAUGACGGGAGCUUGCUCCUUGAUUCAGCGGCGGACGGGUGAGUAAUGCCUAGGAAUCUGCCUGGUAGUGGGGGACAACGUUUCGAAAGGAACGCUAAUACCGCAUACGUCCUACGGGAGAAAGCAGGGGACCUUCGGGCCUUGCGCUAUCAGAUGAGCCUAGGUCGGAUUAGCUAGUUGGUGGGGUAAUGGCUAACCAAGGCGACGAUCCGUAACUGGUCUGGGAGGAUGAUCAGUCACACUGGAACUGAGACACGGUCCAGACUCCUACGGGAGGCAGCAGUGGGGAAUAUUGGACAAUGGGCGAAAGCCUGAUCCAGCCAUGCCGCGUGUGUGAAGAAGGUCUUCGGAUUGUAAAGCACUUUAAGUUGGGAGGAAGGGCAGUAAGUUAAUACCUUGCUGUUUUGACGUUACCGGCAGAAUAAGCACCGGCUAACUCUGUGCCAGCCGCCGCGGUAA
rnacentral:rRNA from 1 species